UACGUAGGGUGCGAGCGUUGUCCGGAAUUAUUGGGCGUAAAGAGCUCGUAGGCGGCCUGUUGCGUCGGUUGUGAAAGCCCGGGGCUUAACCCCGGGUCUGCAGUCGAUACGGGCAGGCUAGAGUUCGGUAGGGGAGAUCGGAAUUCCUGGUGUAGCGGUGAAAUGCGCAGAUAUCAGGAGGAACACCGGUGGCGAAGGCGGAUCUCUGGGCCGAUACUGACGCUGAGGAGCGAGAGCGUGGGGAGCGAACAGG
rnacentral:rRNA from 1 species